ACACCAUCUAUUGACGGCGACAGCAUGUGCUUGCGCGUACCGCAAAAACACCAGGUACACUGGGGAUCAUCCCGAAGAAGCCCGUGAUCACAGGGCACCGUACUGGGUGCUGAAACAGAGGACGGCAACGCGGGUGGCCUUCUGUGCUCGCCAUGGGCAUCUCGCGAGCGAUGAACGAGGCGUUCACGCGCUCCAGGGCGGCAUUCGGAGGAGAGCGUGUUGUGCAGCAGAGGAACUGCUGACCUCAGUCAUGUGUCACGGUUGUGAGCGGCGCACCGAGGGUGAAUACAAGCGAGAUGAAAGAUGAAAAGCAAUGCGAAAAUCGUUGUCUUCCCUGGUCCUCGUACUCCAUGAACGGCAGCCGGAAGCAGCGGAAUCAGGACUUGAAAGCGUACAUCAUCUUUCGACUGUUGGCAAUGGAUCUGGCGGUACACGAGAGACACCUGCGUAUCUAAAGCCGCAGAUACAAGAGAGGCAAAGGAAGCGGUCGCAGAGAAAGCUCGCAAGGCUGACGCUGAUGACAGUUGGAAACAGCGCAAGCUUUCGCUCGUACACCCGAGUUAGCUAAGCGGAACUGUUUUCCUUGUAGUCUGGCACUCGUGUAACUGCAUUCGAUUACUGUUACGAGCGCUUCAUCAAGCCAGUGCGUACCAACGCCACGUCGGUCUGAGAGCCCUUCGAUUCUUUACGUUGUUUUCACCGUUUCUUUGGGUGCAUCUCCCUGAAUCGGCGGAGCUGAUUCUCAGUUACAGAGCGUUGCGUCGUUCAGUUUGACUUCAGCACUAUGCCUGAUACGCUGGUCGCUUGCGCUGUUCACCCAAAGUUUGAACGCACACCGGCGGCAGUUGGCCGACUGCGCAGUCCGUGAAGCGUAGAGCAAGCGCAGUGCACGGACAGAGCUCGCUGGUUAACUGAAAGCCGUGUAUCGCACAGAGACUGUUCAGAUUCGCUCGUGAAAAUUCCGCAUUCGUGACGCUGCAACGGAACAGUACAUGGAGCGAGUACAGCCUCGCGCGAAAAAUAACCAGCGUGCAGGACCCGGUUUCGUUGACAAAUGUUUUGAAAUGAUCAAGAACUAGGAUGAUUUCCUGGUCGCUGACUCUUGUUAAGCGUCCCGAGCGCUAUCAGAUGUUGUUUGCGGACUCCAUGCACAUCUGGCGCCUCAUUUCAGCGUUGUACAUGACUGACAAUGUCCAAUGUUAUGGCGGGUUCAGUCUGGUGUACUUACAACCGUUCGCGCGCAAGUUCGCUUUUCAGCAACGACGCGGCGCAAGGGCGGCGUCUUCCAGUCGCCAGACUCAAGAGUUGAAAAUGAUCUGGACGACCCUGACUCCAGGGAUGGCUGCAUGCCUCUUCUGGGACUAGAUACAAGGGAUCGAUAGCAUAACGCUUUCUCGGGGGCGGCUCGUGGCCGACGGCUCUUCGAAAGUCGACGUACACGUUCGACAGUGAGCACUGCUGCUCUGAGCGGUGCAUGAUCGGUGAGUUGCUGGUGCGUGUCCCACGCCAUCAACAUGAAAAUGAAACCAUACGUGAGAAAGUAGAUCCGCAAGCGAUGCGUCAUCAUGUCAUACGAAUGUGCUGCUUCAACGGUGGUAUUGAAGAGACCGGUCGUCGCUGGCAUGCGCCAGUGGAAGCUGGAAUGGUAUAAGACACUGACAGAUGCAACAAGGUGAAUGCUCCGAACGAGACAGAGAGAAAUGAAGGCUGAAAGUGCCCCAACAGAUCGUGCCCUCCAAAACACGGAAAAUAAGACGAAUGCAUUCAAAGACGUUCCGGAUACGCAUGCGAUGCAUUGUGCCCAGUAGCACAGGGAGCUCCACAGCGGCAAGGAUCGUUCAGACUCCAUCAUCGUUCGCGCGAUCGGUCCUGGGAAGAACACGGCCAUCAAAAAAAGGCCCGCACACAACAAAUCCACGGCUCGAACCCAGCGAAACGCAGCGUCGAAGCGGGUACUGUUUCGUGCUCGGAAAUGACCAACAACAGCACAGGAUCUCUGGUAACGAAGCCACGACGAUGCCCUUCCUACAAAUACGCAUAGCAGGUAGCCGAAGCUGACGAGGAGCAGCACGGCUGGCAAAUGGAGCCUAUUGCCGACCGUGGGCAUCCAUUUGUUGCCGAACAGAGCAGCGGUGCCGCUUGUUCGCAUCAAGCGCUGUUCAUCGAUACUAUUGACGGUUGUCUGGCGCGCUGCGGAAAGUUUCGCCUCGAGCUCGCGCACGCGAACCGCGUGAGCUUCGCGCUCGCGAAUUCUCUCGCUUGUCAGCCGUUCUAGGUUCACGCUUAAAUCAUGAACGCGGGCCUUCCAAGGUUCUAA